rnacentral:rRNA from 1 species
AUUGAACGCUGGCGGCAUGCCUUACACAUGCAAGUCGAACGGUAACAGGCCGCAAGGUUCUGACGAGUGGCGGACGGGGGAGUAAUGCAUCGGAAUGCGCCCAGUCCUGGUGGAUAACUACUCGAAAGGGUAGCUAAUACCGCAUACUACCUCAUACGGACAGCGGGGGAACGCAAGGGCUCGCGCGACUUGGGCCGCUGAUGUCAGAUUAGGUAGUUGGUGGGGUAAAGGCUCACCAAGGCAACGAUCUGUAGCUGGUCUGAGAGGACAACCAGCCACACUGGAACUGAGACACGGCCCAGACUCCUACGGGAGGCAGCAGUGGGGAAUUUUGGACAAUGGGCGCAAGCCCGAUCCAGCAAUGCCGCGUGCAGGAAGAAGGCCUUCGGGUUGUAAACUGCUUUUGUUCGGAACGAAAAGGCUCUGGUUAAUACCCGGGGCUAAUGACGGUACCGUAAGAAUAAGCACCGGCUAACUACGUG